UCGUAACAAGGUUUCCGUAGGUGAACCUGCGGAAGGAUCAUUACCGAGUGCUGGGCCCUCUGGGUCCAACCUCCCACCCGUGUCUAUUGUACCUUGUUGCUUCGGCGGGCCCGCCGUUUUCGAACGGCCGCCGGGGAGGCCUCGCGCCCCCGGGCCCGCGCCCGCCGAAGACCCCAACAUGAACGCUGUUCUGAAAGUAUGCAGUCUGAGUUUGAUUAUCAUAAUCAGUUAAAACUUUCAACAACGGAUCUCUUGGUUCCGGCAUCGAUGAAGAACGCAGCGAAAUGCGAUAAGUAAUGUGAAUUGCAGAAUUCAGUGAAUCAUCGAGUCUUUGAACGCACAUUGCGCCCCCUGGUAUUCCGGGGGGCAUGCCUGUCCGAGCGUCAUUGCUGCCCUCAAGCACGGCUUGUGUGUUGGGCCCCCGUCCCCGGUUCUCCCCGGGGACGGGCCCGAAAGGCAGCGGCGGCACCGCGUCCGAUCCUCGAGCGUAUGGGGCUUUGUCACCCGCUCUGUAGGCCCGGCCGGCGCCAGCCGACACCCCAACUUUAUUUUUCUAAGGUUGACCUCGGAUCAGGUAGGGAUACCCGCUGAACUUAAGCAUAUCA
rnacentral:misc_RNA from 1 species